rnacentral:rRNA from 1 species
UUUAAAUUUCUACUCCUAAAUUUAAUCUUAAUCCAACAUCGAGGUCGCAAUCUUCUUUAUCGAUAUGAACUCUCCAAAAAAAUUACGCUGUUAUCCCUAAAGUAACUUAUUCUUUUAAUCUAUAUGAUAAGAUCACUAAUUCAUAAAUCAAUGAUAUUAUAAAAUAAAAGUUAAUUUAAUUUUAAUAUCACCCCAAUAAAAAUAUUAUAUAUAAAUAUAAAUUUAAAUUUACUAUAAUUAUUAUAUAUAAUAAUAUAUAAAGAUUUAUAGGGUCUUCUCGUCUUUUAAAUUUAUUUUAGCUUUUUUACUAAAAAAUAAAAUUUUACUAUAAUUUUAUAUAAAACAGUUAAUGUUACGUCCAACCAUUCAUUCCAGCCUUCAAUUAAAAGACUAAUUAUUAUGCUACCUUUGCACAGUCAAUAUACUGCGGCCAUUUAAAAUUCAGUGGGCAGGCUAGACUUUAAAUUAAACCUCAAAAAGACAUGUUUUU